CAGUAUUGCGCAAUAGCAAGAAAUCUUCAAUUGCACAGUAUUGUGCAAUAGCAAAUAUUUUCAAUUGCACAGUAUUGCGCAAUAGCAAGAAAUAUCUAAUUGCACACUAUUGUGCAAUAGCAAGAAAUUUUCAAUUGGAGUUAUCUUUCUUUGUUCAGAAUAGUAGUUGAAUCAACUUAAAUCAUUGUUUUAUACAAUAUACAAUGUUUAUUCACUUUUACUACCAACUGAUAAAUUAAAACAAUCUUUACCAUUCAGUGAUAACAAGCACUUCAUUUUACAUUUUAAUAUUUUAUGAUGUAUUUAAAAUGAGUAGUUAUUGUUGCAAACUCCAUUAGAAAUUUGAAUUGAGAUCAGUUUUGGAAAAAGGGAAAGGGGGAUGUGCAAAAAAAUGGGGGGGGGGGGGGUUAAAUUUUUCUCAUUUCAGAUUUCGUAAAUAAAAAGAAAAUUUCUUCAAACAUUUUUUUGAGAGGAUUAAUAUUCAACAGCAAAGUGAAUUGCUCAAAGGCCAAAAAAAUAUUUUAAGUUCAUUAGACCACAUUCAUUCUUCUUCUUUAGGUUUCUAGCGAUCCUUCAAAUAUUGAAGAUUAUUCGCCGGAAUAGUAUUCUGUGUCAGAAACCUAUGCUGUGUCAACUAUUUAAUCACAAUCCAAAUUUAGAGCUGAAUCCAGCUUGAAUGUUGUGUCCAUACUUGCCCCAAUUGUUCAUGAUUCAACCUCUGCGGUCGUAUAAAGCUGCGCCCUGCGGAGCAUCUGGUUUCCCUUUUUCCUGUAAAAUUAAGUGGUAGGUUUGUUUGUUAUUUUAUGUAGUAAACACAAUGACAAGUUAUAGAUCAAGUUAGAAUUUCCUUCCAUUACAAUGAAAAUUUAACUGGAGUGGACUAUCAGAAUGCUUGUUAUUAAAUAAGCUAAUGAAAUUUCAGCCUUUAAGUCUUUGGAGGUGUUCAUUAAUCAGAGAAAGUUAGAGGAUCCUGAAAGUUUUUUAAAAACAGGAAGUAGAACAGUGUUUUCAGCUCCUUGUAAGCAAAGCAGUGUCUGUAUUUUGAUCAGAUUAAUGA
rnacentral:lncRNA from 1 species